GAAACGGUGGCUAAUGCCGGAUAGUCCCAUAGGAUCGCAUGGUCCAAUGGGUAAAGUCGGGGAUCCUUCGGGACCUUUCGGCUGAGGAGCGGGUCAUGCGCUAUCAGCUUGUUGGUGAGGUAACGGCUCACCAAGGCUAAGACGGCUAGGCGGUCUGAGAGGAUGACCGCCCACAUCGGGACUGAGACACUGCCCGGACUCCUACGGGAGGCUGCAGUCGAGAAUCUUCCGCAAUGGGCGCAAGCCUGACGGAGCGACGCCGCGUGAGGGAUGAAGGCUUUCGGGUUGUAAACCUCUUUCGCCUGUUAAGAAAGUGCCCGUCCGAAUAAGGCGGGUUUUGACAAAGGCAGGUAAAGAAGCACCGGCUAACUCCGUGCCAGCAGCCGCGGUAAGACGGAGGGUGCAAGCGUUACUCGGAAUUACUGGGCGUAAAGGGUACGUAGGCGGCCCAUUAAGUUAGAUGUGAAAUCCCACGGCUCAACCGUGGAACUGCGUCCAAAACUGGUGGGCUUGAGAACGGUAGGGGACAGUGGAACUCCAGGUGGAGCGGUGAAAUGCGUAGAGAUCUGGAGGAACACCGGUGGCGAAAGCGACUGUC
rnacentral:rRNA from 1 species